CCUGACGCUACACAUCAUCGAGGCAGCCCUGAGUGGAGGUAAUCCUAUCUGAGGACCGACUGGGAUCAUGUCUGUAAGGAGGGCAAGCUUCUGUGAGGUGCCUGAGCUGGGUCACAAAGGAAAAAACCCACGUGCAGGAAGAGCAGCAAACUGAGGAAGAAGGAAGUUCAAAGCAAUUUGCCUACGAUUCCAUUUCUAGGACGCGGUAGAGGUAAUCUUCUAGCUCUCUGCAAAGCUGGAGGCGUGAGCGCUGAACAGCCACUUUGUAUCAUGUUCUACAGGUGGGUGGAAUCCGGAUCCUAGGUCCCUCACCCCCACAGAGAAAGACUGCUUGUGUGUAGAGCAGACUCCCUCAGACUGGCGACUCCAGGUAGGAGACUAAGUGGCCAUCUACCUCACGCCCAGCUCCAGGGAUGGGCUCGAUGACUAAGAGUAAUCCUGCUCUCUCUGCCGGUGAUUGGUUCCGGGAUACUCCCAAUUCUUUCCAAGGAAACAUGAGAAGUCCUCUGGAAUCUUGUCCUAUCUGGAGAGGAUGCUCGGAACUACUGCCACCAUCUUGUCACCAGCUUGAGAAAGAAUCCAACUGAUGAUGGCACAGCAGAGAGAAAGAGAGAAACUCUUCCUGGAUGCCAUUGUUGAAUGGCUAAUUCAACCAGCUUUGGGCCCGCCCUGCCCCUGGCAUUCCUGAUAUGUGAGAUAAUCAAUUCCCUAUUGUUUAAACCAGCUUGAGUCAGGGGUUUUUUUCUGCCACCAAAAGCAUCCUGACUAAUACAGAACUCAAAGCAGACUCUCCUCCCCCUCCUCCUCCACCCAGCAGCUGAACUGAAUGCCACUGAGAAUUGCCAACAACCCAUUCCAGAGGCUGCACACAGGAGGAGGAGGGAUUUGGGGGGCGGGGGGGUGGUGAUGGAAUAUAAGAGCUUUAAAGGACUGAGGAGUUGCGGGGCAUGGGGACAAAGAAAAAAGGAGCAAGGGAAAGGACCCCUCUGUGCCAUCAGAGUGGGGUAGAAACAUGGUAGAAACAUGUGCUCAGGAGUCUAUGACUAAGGUUCCAUACCCAUGGGCAAGGUGAAUACACUAAAGCUACCCCUACUAAAUCUCCACUCAAAACGUGUUGGACCAUAAUGUUGGAGCCCAGAGCAAAGAGCUGACCGAACACUCUCCAUGGAUUUAUAUGGUCCUUCCCUGGCAACCAUUAACCAUCCUUUGGGAGGCCAAAUUAGCCUUUCUUCCAUAAAAUACAGUGUACUGCUGGAAUUAGAGAUUGUUGGCCCCAGUAGUCUUAAAAGGCUAACAAAUCUGAACCCUCUUAUUUUGUGAAAGGGCCUCCAAGGCCUGGGACGGGAAGUGAUUUCCCUGAGGCAGUGCCAAGGGAGUUUGUGGGAAGAGAUGACACUGAAAUGCAGGUCUCCUAUCUCCCAAACUGGACCCCAGACACCACCAUUCCCCUGAGUGCGUACCAAGAAACUGUCAAUAGAUUUUAACAGCCAGAACAAUUUUGGAUGAUCAAGUAAACUCAGAAAGUGUUGCAUUAAAUAAAUCAUAUUAAAGAUUUUUCAA